GAUGAACGCUAGCGGCAGGCCUAAUACAUGCAAGUCGGACGGGAUUCAGGAGCUUGCUUCUGAUGAGAGUGGCGCACGGGUGCGUAACACGCAUGUAACCUACCUUUAUCAAGGGGAUAGCCUCUCGAAAGAGAGAGUAAGCCAGCAUAGAAACACAGCACAGCAUUGUGUAACAAUAAAAUAUUAAUAGGUUAAAGAUGGGCAUGCGGGACAUUAGCUAGAUGGCGGGGUAACGGCACACCAUGGCGACGAUGGGUAGGGGAUCUGAGGGGACGGCCCCCCACACUGGUACUGAGACCCGGACCAGACUCCUACGGGAGGCAGCAGUAAGUACUAUUGAUCAAUGGGCGGUAGCCUGAACCAGCCAUGCCGCGUGCAGGAAGACGGCCCUACGGGUUGUAAGCUGCUUUUAUACGGGAAUAAACCCAGAUACGUGUCUCUGGCUGACUGUACUGUAAGAAUAAGGAUCGGCUAACUCCGUG
rnacentral:rRNA from 1 species